rnacentral:ribozyme from 1 species
GGAUCAUUUUAAAAGAAAGAAAUGUAGUUUUAUUCCCGUGGCGUGCUUAACACAUGUAGUAAUAACGUUUUAAAAAGAGUGCC